GGAAUUUUCAGAUGAAUCGGAUAAUCGGUUGUUAAGUUGCUGCCCCUGAAUUGGUAAUUUUGAGGAAAUUUUGCUGUUUUUUUGUUAUUAUCUUGAAUAUUAUUAUAGAUAGAGAUAAACUGUAAACAGCAAUAAUGUACAGCAAAGUAAGAACUAAAAAUAAGUCAGUAUGACCAAAAUAGUCAAUUGACCCCCUAAGGAGUUAUUGCCCUUCAUAGUAAAUUUUUAACAAUUUUCUUAAAAUUUGAAGAUUUUCAAUAACAUUUUCCACAGAAAGUACUGUUAUAGAUAGAGAUAAUUGUAAGCAGCAAGAAUGUUUAGUAAAGUAAGAUCUACAAACACAUCACCAUCACCAAAACACAAUUUUGUCAUGAAUCCAUCUGUGUCCAUUGUUUAAUAUUCACAUAGACCAAGGUGAGCGACACAGGCUCUUUAGAGCCUCUAGUUUUA
rnacentral:lncRNA from 1 species